AGGGACAGUUUAGCUUGUUUUUAGGUUUUAUGGUUGUUUCUCUUUUUGGUGUGUAUGUGUAUUCGGUGUGGUGAGUUUCUGUGUGUGAAUGUGUUUGUGUCUGCAUUCAGUGUGGUGUGUUUGUGUAGUGCGUGUGUUUGUGUGUAUGUGUAUUUGUAGUGUGUUAUGUUGCGUGAGUGAUGUUGGAGCGCCCCCCUGUGGCUGACUGAUGAGAAAAGCCACAUGCAAUGACGCUACUGCAGUGAAGAGCUCUAACACUUAUCACUCUAUAAUCUGCCCAGCUGGCAUCCUGACGUCAAUUUGACAUCAACAAGUAGUCAAGAUUUUGACCAACAUGUAUGACGUGCAUAAAUAUGCAUAAUUUCAUUAUAUUUUGUAAUGAUUUCCUUGUGGUUGUAAAGAGGCCCAACAAAGGUAUCAAUCUAACAUGUUUUUUCUGGUCCCUACAUCUCAGGUCUAUAUUAUUGACAUUAAAUCAACGUUGAUUUGAUGUCAGGAAAUAAGACGUCAAAUUGAUGUGAAAUUUAUGUCAAAACAACGUCUGUUAAAAUGUCUGAAAAGGUAUAUUAUUAGCCUACUCAUUGUAAACCGACGCGAGUUUUUCAACAUCCUGACCCACACAGCAGAGGGUUCUAAAACGGACCCUCUGCGGCGGACUCCGUGCGGAUACGCACAUCGAACGCGCCCUUUCCAGUCCUAACGGCUCCUUCAGUUUUCAAAUUUCUCGUUGAUGAAGUGGAAGACGAAACAGCGGCGUCUGAAGGCUCACUGUCAUUCACAAGUGGCUCCAGUCUGGUUUGGGGGUUCUGCCAUCCAAGUAAAGUUAUUCACAAGUGGCUCCAGUCUGGUUUGGGGGUCUACGCUUUCUCAUCCUGUCCUGCCACCCAAGUGAAGUUAUUCACAAGUGGCUCCAGUCUGGUUUGGGGGUCUACGCUUUCUCAUCCUGUCCUGCCACCCAAGUGAAGUUAUUCACAAGUGGCUCCAGUCUGGUUUGGGGGUCUACGCUUUCUCAUCCUGUCCUGAGUGAUUCUUGACAUUGAAAUUAUAUCAAAAUUUGUCAAUAAAUGUUCAUACUUUUGUCAUUAA